CCCCUAGAUGUUCUGGGCCGCACGCGCGCUACACUGAACAGUUCAACAAGUCUUAACCUUGGCCGAUAGGUCUGGGUAAUCUUUGAACGCUGUUCGUGAUUGGGAUAGACCUUUGCAAUUAUGGGUCUUCAACGAGGAAUUCCUAGUAAAUGCAAGUCAUCAGCUUGCAUUGAUUACGUCCCUGCCCUUUGUACACACCGCCCGUCGCACCUACCGAUUGAAUGGUCCGGUGAAAUCUCGGGACGGCGGCUUGGUCGCUUGCGUCCGACUGCUGAAACUUGAUUAAACCAUAUCAUUUAGAGGAAGGUGAANUCGUAACA
rnacentral:rRNA from 1 species